UCCCUCCCAGAAUGGCACCUGGAGAGUUUCUAGUAGUCUACCAGUCUCGACAAGGGGAGGGAGCGUCAAGCAGAAGCCUACCCAUGCCAUUCCUAGCUUGGGCAGCAGCUGGUGAAUGGCAGUCAAUCUUCCUCAAGU